UCCCUGAAGGACUAGUGGUUAGGCCACAGUGCGCUCACCGCUGAGGCCUGGGUUCGGUUCCCGGCCAGGGCU